GACAGAGGGUGCAAACGUUGUUCGGAAUUACUGGGCGUAAAGCGUGUGUAGGCGGUCCACUAAGUCGGGUGUGAAAGCCCUGGGCUCAACCCAGGAAGUGCACUCGAAACUGGCGGGCUAGAGUAUCGGAGAGGUUGGUGGAAUUCUCGGUGUAGAGGUGAAAUUCGUAGAUAUCGAGAGGAACACCCGUGGCUAAGGCGGCUCUCUAGUACGGUACUGACGCUGAGACGCGAAAGCGUGGGGAGCGAACAGG
rnacentral:rRNA from 1 species